UACGUAGGGUGCAAGCGUUAAUCGGAAUUACUGGGCGUAAAGCGUGCGCAGGCGGUCUUGCAAGACAGAUGUGAAAUCCCCGGGCUCAACCUGGGAACUGCAUUUGUGACUGCAAGGCUGGAGUGCGGCAGAGGGGGAUGGAAUUCCGCGUGUAGCAGUGAAAUGCGUAGAUAUGCGGAGGAAUACCGAUGGCGAAGGCAGCCCCCUGGGAUGACACUGACGCUCAUGCACGAAAGCGUGGGGAGCAAACAGG
rnacentral:rRNA from 1 species